GAUUCCACAGCAACAUGGACGCAAGAUACCGAUAAUUACUUUAUUCGGUACUCUAGCGUGGAUCAAGGAGUUAUUCGGACAUCAUUGGUGAAACUGGUGUGUGAUCAAAGUGCAGAUGAACCCAAGUUAGACACAUUCGGCUCCGGAAAUGAAAACCCUACAACAUAUAAUUUCACCUUAACAUCCAAGUGUGCCUGUCCUGGGGCUUGUCAAUCCUCUACACCAACUUUUAAUCCCCCACAUCGUGGCAUGAUCAGUCCAGGAUCUGUCCUUUGUAUCAUUGUUCCAGUGUUGAUAGUGGUGUACCUGGUUGCGGGAGUUCUCUUCAUGAAAUUUGCGCGCCAUGCUGAGGGGACAGACCUAAUACCCAACAGAGACAUUUGGACUAAU